UACGAAGGGUGCUAGCGUUGUUCGGAAUCACUGGGCGUAAAGCGCGCGUAGGCGGCUUUUCAAGUCAGGGGUGAAAUCCCACAGCUUAACUGUGGAACUGCCUUUGAAACUGUAAAGCUGGAAUGCAAGAGGGGAUAGCGGAAUUGCUAAUGUAGAGGUGAAAUUCGUAGAUAUUAGCAGGAACACCGGUGGCGAAGGCGGCUAUCUGGAUUGCAAUUGACGCUGAGGCGCGAAAGCAUGGGGAUCAAACAGG
rnacentral:rRNA from 1 species